rnacentral:rRNA from 1 species
CUACGGGUGGCUGCAGUGGGGAAUAUUGGACAAUGGGGGAAACCCUGAUCCAGCAAUGCCGCGUGUGUGAAGAAGGCCUGCGGGUUGUAAAGCACUUUCGGUUGGGAGGACUGCUUCUAGCACUAAUAUUGUUGGAAGUUGACGUUACCUUCAGAAGAAGCACCGGCUAACUCCGUGCCAGCAACCGCGGUAAUACGGAGGGUGCAAGCGUUAAUCGGAAUUACUGGGCGUAAAGCGCGCGUAGGCGGCUAGAUCAGUCGGGUGUGAAAGCCCCGGGCUUAACCUGGGAACUGCAUCCGAUACUGUCUAGCUUGAGUACAGGAGAGGAGAGUGGAAUUCCACAUGUAGCGGUGAAAUACGUAGAUAUGUGGAGGAACACCAAUGGCGAAGGCAGCUCUCUGGCCUGAUACUGACGCUGAGGUGCGAAAGCGUGGGGAGCAAACAGGAUUAGAUACCCGAGUAGUC